CCGUCGGGACGACCCGGCCAUGAGAGGGUAACAGUCAGGACGACCUGC
rnacentral:ncRNA from 1 species